AUUGAACGCUGGCGGCGUGCCUAACACAUGCAAGUCGAGCGGUAACAGGUGUAGCAAUACAUGCUGACGAGCGGCGAACGGGUGAGUAAUGCUUUGGAAUCUUCCCAGUAGUGGGGAAUAACCAGUCGAAAGAUUGGCUAAUACCGCAUACGUCUGGUAAAGGGAAAGCGGGGGCUCGUAAGACCUCGCGCUAUUGGGAUGAGCCAAAGUCGGAUUAGGCUAGUUGGNGGGGUAAUGGCCUACCAAGGCGACAAUCCGUAGCUGGUCUGAGAGGACGACCAGCCACACCGGAACUGAGACACGGUCCGGGACUCCUACGGGAGGCAGCAGUGGGAAUAUUGGACAAUGGGGGAAACCCUGAUCCAGCGACGCCGCGUGUGUGAAGAAGGCCUGCCGGGUUGUAAAGC
rnacentral:rRNA from 1 species